rnacentral:rRNA from 1 species
UACGAAGGGGGCUAGCGUUGUUCGGAAUUACUGGGCGUAAAGGGCGCGUAGGCGGAUGACACAGUCAGGCGUGAAAUUCCUGGGCUCAACCUGGGGGCUGCGUUUGAUACAUGUUGUCUGAAGUUCGGAAGAGGGUCGUGGAAUUCCCAGUGUAGAGGUGAAAUUCGUAGAUAUUGGGAAGAACACCGGUGGCGAAGGCGGCGACCUGGUCCGAUACUGACGCUGAGGCCCGAAAGCGUGGGGAGCAAACAGG